UACGGGGGGAGCAAGCGUUGUUCGGAUUUACUGGCGUAAAGGGCGCGUAGGCGGCCUCUGCAAGUCGACUGUGAAAUCUCCGGCUUAACCCGGAAAGGUCAGCCGAUACUGCAGGGCUAGAGUGCAGAAGGGGCAACUGGAAUUCUCGGUGUAGCGGUGAAAUGCGUAGAUAUCGAGAGGAACACCUGUGGCGAAGGCGGCCAGCUGGGCCAGAUCCGACACUGAGGCGCGAAAGCGUGGGGAGCAAACAGG
rnacentral:rRNA from 1 species